CUGGCAUGCUUCAAGAAGCUUACAUUUGAAUACUGUCUAAAUCAGUGCAGACCCUUGACCAGCUUAAUCUUUGCUUGCAAAUGACAAUGCAGUGAAACCAGAGGAAGAAAAAAAUUACUUCCUUUCCUGUUGGAAACCUAAUAAGUAGUUAGUCUGACCCAGUUUUCAAUAAGAGAGAUUUUCUGAUGACCCGACAGGAGUGACUAUCUCCAGUCAAAGAAAGAGGAGGGUGAAUUUAAUCUUUCAUGCCCCUGGAAUGGCAGCUGCUCUCAGCUCUCUCUGAUUCUGUGAAGGUUGAUGAAGAUAGAGCUGGCUUUCAAUGUAGAAGGAAUUUUCCUUUUGAAUAUUCCAAACGAGAGCUUUGCACAUGUGCCUCAAGAACUGAUUGCCUGGGCUCCGACAGGAAUGCAGCAGGAGAGGAGCGUAUUUCAUGCUUAAGACCAGAGAAGAGCCACGCAAUACUCAGUGGAUAAAAGGCUUGCAGUCCCAGCUGGGAAAAAGAGUCCCAUUAUCUCCCAGCUGCAUAGACAUUCCAUACGGCUUGGUUCUGCCUGGACGCACAGCAUGCCUGGCUGAGAGCUUGAAACAGAGUUCUGCAGAAAAACUGUAAAGAUCCCGAGACGUUUCCCUGGUAAGAUCUACUCUUGAGAUACUGACUGGAAGAUAGACUGUUUUUUUCCACCUGAUUGUAUGGGAGAAAUUUUUGACCUUAGAAAGUGGAAAUGAGGUUGCUAUGGAAACUGGUAAUUCUGCUGCCACUCAUAAACUCUUCUGCAGGUGAUGGUCUUUUAAGCCGUCCUAUUUUUACUCAGGAGCCACAUGAUGUCAUUUUUCCUUUGGAUUUAUCAAAAUCUGAGGUCGUCCUGAAUUGUGCUGCUAACGGUUACCCUUCGCCUCGUUAUAGGUGGAAGCAAAAUGGCACAGACAUUGAUUUUACUAUGAGUUAUCACUACAGGUUGGAUGGAGGCAGUCUUGCAAUCAAUAGCCCCCACACAGAUCAAGAUAUUGGCAUGUACCAGUGCCUGGCCACCAAUCUUCUGGGGACAAUUCUGAGUCGGAAGGCAAAGCUCCAAUUUGCAUAUAUUGAAGACUUUGAAACUAAAACAAGAAGCACAGUAUCUGUCCGGGAAGGUCAAGGUGUGGUGCUUCUCUGUGGCCCACCGCCACAUUUUGGAGAUUUAUCUUAUGCAUGGACCUUCAAUGAUAACCCCUUAUACGUCCAAGAGGACAAUAGGCGAUUUGUAUCUCAAGAGACGGGAAACUUGUACAUUGCCAAAGUGGAACCAUCAGAUGUGGGCAACUACACUUGCUUUAUAACUAACAAAGAGGCCCAGAGAAGUGUUCAAGGUCCACCCACUCCAUUAGUGCAGCGCACUGAUGGUGUGAUGGGGGAAUAUGAACCAAAGAUUGAAGUGCGUUUUCCUGAAACUAUACAAGCUGCAAAGGAUUCAUCUGUAAAACUGGAAUGUUUUGCCCUUGGAAAUCCAGUCCCCGAUAUUAGUUGGAGAAGGUUGGACGGGAGCCCGUUGCCAGGGAAAGUCAAGUACAGCAAAUCCCAAGCUAUCCUUGAAAUCCCGAACUUCCAACAAGAAGAUGAAGGCUUUUAUGAGUGCAUUGCAAGCAACCUUCGAGGAAGAAACCUUGCAAAGGGUCAACUCAUUUUUUAUGCUCCUCCAGAAUGGGAACAGAAAAUCCAAAAUACAUACCUCUCUAUCUAUGACAACUUGCUCUGGGAAUGUAAAGCUAGUGGAAAGCCAAACCCUUGGUACACAUGGUUAAAAAAUGGUGAACGACUCAACCCAGAGGAGAGAAUUCAAAUAGAAAAUGGGACACUCAUCAUAACGAUGCUGAAUGUGUCAGAUUCUGGUGUGUACCAAUGUGCUGCAGAAAACAAAUAUCAGAUAAUUUAUGCAAAUGCUGAAUUGAGAGUUUUAGCCUCAGCUCCAGAUUUCUCCAAAAGUCCAGUUAAAAAAAAGUCUUUUGUUCAAGUUGGUGGGGAUAUUGUUAUCGGAUGCAAACCAAAUGGUUUUCCCAGGGCAGCUAUCUCUUGGAAAAGAGGAACGGAGACCCUUAGACAAAGCAAAAGAGUAUUUCUCUUGGAGGAUGGCAGCCUCAAGAUAUAUAAUAUUACCAGGUCAGAUGCUGGAUCAUAUACAUGCAUAGCCACAAAUCAGUUUGGCACUGCAAAGAACACCGGCAGCCUCAUUGUAAAAGAGAGAACUGUCAUUACCGUCCCACCUUCCAAAAUGGAUGUUACAGUUGGCGAGAGUAUAGUGCUACCAUGCCAGGUGUCCCAUGACCCCUCCAUUGAAGUGGUAUUUGUAUGGUUUUUCAAUGGAGAUGUCAUAGACUUAAAAAAAGGAGUGGCUCAUUUUGAAAGGAUUGGAGGAGAAUCUGUUGGGGAUUUGAUGAUAAGGAAUAUUCAGUUACAUCAUUCAGGAAAAUAUCUCUGCACAGUACAAACAACCCUAGAAAGUUUAUCUGCAGUAGCCGAUAUCAUUGUUAGAGGUCCACCAGGUCCUCCUGAGGAUGUGCAAGUGGAAGACAUUUCCAGUACUACUUCUCAACUAAGCUGGAGAGCAGGCCCAGAUAAUAACAGUCCCAUUCAAAUAUUUACUAUUCAGACUCGGACCCCAUUUUCUGUGGGUUGGCAGGCUGUUGCUACAGUUCCAGAAAUUCUCAAUGGUAAGACAUACAAUGCAACAGUGGUUGGUUUGAGUCCUUGGGUGGAAUAUGAAUUUCGUGUUGUUGCCGGCAACAGCAUUGGGAUUGGAGAACCAAGUGAACCAUCAGAAUUGUUAAGAACUAAAGCAUCAGUCCCUGUUGUGGCACCAGUAAACAUCCAUGGAGGUGGAGGAAGUCGGUCUGAACUCGUCAUUACGUGGGAGUCAAUUCCAGAAGAACUGCAGAAUGGGGAGGGAUUUGGAUAUAUCAUCAUGUUCCGGCCAGUGGGCUCGACAACCUGGUCCAAGGAGAAAGUAUCAUCUGUGGAAUCAUCAAGGUUUGUUUACAGAAAUGAAAGCAUCAUCCCACUGUCUCCCUUUGAAGUCAAAGUGGGCGUGUAUAAUAAUGAAGGAGAAGGAUCCCUGAGUACUGUGACCAUUGUCUACUCUGGGGAAGAUGAACCUCAACUGGCCCCAAGGGGAACUUCUCUCCAGAGUUUUUCUGCUUCUGAAAUGGAGGUUUCAUGGAAUGCUAUUGCCUGGAAUAGAAACACUGGAAGAGUGCUGGGCUAUGAGGUCUUAUACUGGACAGAUGACUCCAAAGAAUCCAUGAUAGGUAAAAUUAGAGUCAGUGGAAAUGUCACAACCAAAAACAUCACGGGGCUGAAAGCUAAUACCAUCUACUUUGCUUCUGUAAGAGCUUACAACACUGCUGGGACAGGGCCCUCAAGCCCCCCAGUCAAUGUUACCACCAAAAAGUCUCCUCCAAGCCAACCACCAGCAAACAUUGCCUGGAAGCUGACAAACUCUAAAUUAUGCUUGAACUGGGAGCAUGUAAAAACCAUGGAAAAUGAGUCUGAAGUUUUGGGGUACAAGAUUCUGUACCGGCAAAACAGACAGAGUAAAACUCAUAUUUUGGAAACAAACAAUACAUCAGCUGAGCUUCUGGUUCCAUUUGAAGAAGACUACUUAAUUGAAAUAAGAACAGUCAGUGAUGGUGGAGAUGGAAGCAGCAGUGAGGAAAUUAGGAUUCCAAAAAUGUCAAGUUUGAGUUCCAGAGGAAUUCAAUGUUUAGAACCUAGCACCCAUUUUCUUUCCAUUGUCAUUGUGAUUUUUUACUGUUUUGCUAUUCAGCCACUUAUCUGACGAAUAAAACCAUAAAUCUUUGAGAGUUUUUUGAAAGCAAAUCAUUCUGUAUAUAUGCUCUCCAGCCUCUGACACAAGAUGCGUUCUUAAUACAGACUUGUUUGCAAAGAAAAAAAAAAGUAUAUUAUUAAAAUCCUGUAAAUAUCUAUGGUACAUUAAUAAAACAAUUUUAAACACUUUUGAAUUUUAAAAUUCGCACAUGAUUACAUGCAUUCCUAGGUGCCACAUUAACCUGGGGAGUUGUAACUGCUGUGUCUUUUAAGUUACUUAUAUGGAGAAAAUAAAUAACUCCCCUCAAUGAUGGUGAUGAUGAAUACAAACUUGGCUCCUAGUUACCAUAACUCACAUGUACAUUUUUAUGUAUUCCAGACAAUCACUUCAGUAUUUAAAAUUUCCACCCUACUUCAAAAUAAAAUACAAUUAUUUGUUUAUAGUUGGGAUUCUUUAAAAAUACAAACUAUUCCAAAGCAUGGGGUGCUUUUAUCUCUGAAUCAAGUUGGAAUAAGAAAUCUUUUUACUCAAGAAUAUUUCAGUAUACAUGAUGUUCUUCUCAGCUCACUUUUCAGAAGAUUCAGUCACAAUAAAGGCAGAAAAAGUAUUUUAUGGCAAAGAAAAAUAAAUGAUGGGAAAUGAGCACCCACCUAAAAUAAUCUAACAACUCUGGUAUAUAUUAAGCAAUUGCUCAUGGCAAAGUUGAACAUUUGAACUGCUGCAUGAACAAAUCUCAGAAAAUGAAUAAUGAGUUCCAGAGGCGAUGGACCUUAUCUUUGCAUUUCCCCUUGCAUCCAUCACACCCAGAAGAGUACCUGACAUCCAGUAGUUGCUCAACACAUAUGUUUUGAAUGAAUAUACAAACAAAAGAAAGUGUUGAGUGUGCAUUACUUAAUAAAAUCUCAUUGCCACUCCUGGAAAAGUGGCAAAGCUAACCUAAAGAAUUUUGUCUUUUGUAAAGCUUUCAUAUUAAAAUAUUAUAAUUUUUUUUUGGCCUUAUUAUUUUUAAUAAUUUAUCAUG